UUACGGCCAUAUCAGGUUAGAAACACCGGUUCCCGUAAGAUCACCGAAGUUAAGCAACAUCGAGACUGGACAGAACUUAGAUGGGUGACCGCUUGCGAACACCAAGUGCU